GAGGGGAGAUGGAUGAUUCCCGGUUCUUGUCUCUAUCUGCGUGCGCCCUCUGCCAUUUUUAACUCCAAACGCGGACCACGUUUGCCCUGCGGAACGAGGAGGCAAUGGCGGCUCUUCUUCCAACUCCUUCUCUUUUCACCACUAAGUUUCCUUCUAAAACCCGCGCCAGUACACCCUUUCUCUCUCCUAUCAAUCCCCUUUCUCUCACUAACUCACGUUCAAUUUUGUGGAGCUCUAGCGAAUUUGGGCGAAGAGUGGAGGUGCGAUGUCACGCUAUGAACAGUGCUGUUGAGGUGCAGACAAAGAGGAGCUCCGAUAAACCUAGGGUUUCACCGCCUUUUAGAGUGGGGCAUGGCUUCGAUCUUCACAGGCUUGAGCCUGGUUUGCCUCUCAUUAUUGGAGGAAUCAAUAUACCCCAUGAUAGAGGUUGUGAGGCUCAUUCUGAUGGUGAUGUGCUCCUGCACUGUGUGGUCGAUGCAAUUUUGGGGGCUCUUGGACUUCCGGAUAUUGGCCAAAUUUUCCCUGAUAGUGAUCCUAAAUGGCGGGGAGCAGAAUCAUCUGUCUUCAUGAGAGAAGCAGUGAAGCUUAUGCAUGAGGCAGGCUAUGAACUUGGUAACUUGGAUGCCACCCUCAUCUUGCAGAGACCCAAGCUGAGCCCCCACAAAGAAUCAAUCAGGGCCAACCUAUGUGAGCUUCUUGGAGCAGAUCCUAGCGUAGUCAAUCUUAAAGCGAAAACUCAUGAAAAGGUUGACAGCCUUGGAGAGAACCGAAGUAUUGCAGCUCACACUGUGGUUCUUCUCAUAAAGAAGUGACAACCCUUUGGGAGUUGAUGAUCGAUAUGCGGCUUUCGAGGGGAAUGUUGUUACUUUCAACUCUGAAGAGUUGCAGUGAAGGAUGGUGACCUCAAGGUUGGACUAUUAUCGUUGACAUGCCGGAAAUUGAAAGAGGUGAUUUGGGUGACAUAUCCGUUUCUUAAAACCUGUCUGGAACUCAAUAUUGGGCAACGUCUCAUACAUGGUGUCCACCAAUCAAGUUCUAUAUCUAUCAUGGAAGUGCCGUUCGAAUUCUGUCAGCUAUAGUGACAGUCGUAUUUCAUGGCGGACAAAACGCAUUAAAGAUGUGUGUCAUUUUCUUCAUGAGCGCCGUUUGAUGCUUGUGACAUCUCUUCCAUAUUUUUGUUUCUUCCUAAAUGCACGACUGACAUUAAGAAGGCUUGAGUUCGUUAUUGCCAAAUUGUCUUA